rnacentral:rRNA from 1 species
UACGAAGGGGGCUAGCGUUGCUCGGAAUCACUGGGCGUAAAGGGUGCGUAGGCGGGUCUUUAAGUCUGGGGUGAAAUCCUGGAGCUCAACUCCAGAACUGCCUUUGAUACUGAAGAUCUUGAGUUCGGGAGAGGUGAGUGGAACUGCGAGUGUAGAGGUGAAAUUCGUAGAUAUUCGCAAGAACACCAGUGGCGAAGGCGGCUCACUGGCCCGAUACUGACGCUGAUGCACGAAAGCGUGGGGAGCAAACAGG